AGAAGCUUUCGCCUCCGCCUUCAGACUGGCCCUCAGGCUUCCCUGCUCAGAGGCAGGGAAUUGUGCAGCUGGAGUUUCAUUUUCCAAGAGGCAGGGUCUCAGUCUGUCACCCAGGCUGGAGUACAGUGGCACCAUCUUGGCUCACUCUAGCCUCGACCUCCUGGGCUCAAGUGAGCCUCCUACCUCAGUCUCCCAAAAUGCUGGGAUUACAAGCAUGAACCACUGUGACUUGCCUUCUUGGCAAUUUUAAAUGAAAGAAGAAGAUGGAAUAAUGCCUACUGAGGACUAUGUUUGAGGGGUGUUGUAUGACCCCGUUUUCCAUACCCAGCCAACUUGUCAUGUGACAAGUCCACAGAAAGAUGUUAUAUGACAGGAAUCUAUGAACUAGUCUUCCCUGAAAUGUACCUGACUACAGCUAACAUCAUAUCACAUGAUGAAAGACCGCGUUGUUUUCCCCUGAGGUUGGCACUGCAGCUGUGGGUGAUUCGGAUGGUCUGUUGGUGGAAUGUGGAGCUGGACGGGUCAAGGAGCACAGUGUGGAAAGAGGGACAAUUUGCUACAAGUUGGAGAUAAGAGACAUGGCAUACUGUGAAACCAGUGCUGACGGAAGAAGGUGACUUUCUUGGAAGGUCAAGACACUUGCUUGACAGCGAUGUCCAGGAGGGCUAGGGAGAGUUCUGCUGGAAGUGAAGGCAGCACCUGAGGGUGGCUGAGGGAACUGGUCAGGGCUGGGAACGCCUCCAGCCCUUUGAGGAAUGAUUCGCUGAUUAAGAGAUGUUUGGCCUUGAAAAUUGCAAGAAUGAAAUCUCUUGGUGGGAAUGUGUAGCCAAAAGCCAGCACCCUGAGUGGCUCCAAGGUUUGGGGACCCUCUCAAGGCACAAAUCCCAGUUCCUUUUCAAUUUUGAAAAUCGUUGUGGGCGAUUCUGGAAUUGAGAAGUGUGCUGAGAGCCAUGGAUUUAACAUGACAAGAAUUUCCGCCCCUUCGUCACUGAGCACACCGCAAAUGCUCCAGGGCCAGGGACUUACUUGGGCUUCUGCGUGUCUUCCACAGUGUGCAUCAAUCCGCCGGGCUCUGGUUGGUGUUUAAAAAAAAAGAUGCAGCGAAGGAAUCUGGUGUGGACAAACGCCCUGGGCAUGGACCAAAAGCCUGGCCCUUGUGUCCCUGGCAAUGGGACGGUGAAGGACAGAAAGACAGCACAUCCAGUAGUGUCAGGAGCUUGGAGCAGGCAUUCGGAAGCAUCUGUUAAAUGUUAUUGAUGGAGGAUUGACAUAACCCACAUCUGCAUAGCUUUUUUGGUCUGUUUUUGGAAGUGAACAGUCACAAACAAAAACAACUUUGGUUCAGGUCAUUUAUAGGCCCAGAUCCUCUAUCCUUAGAGGUUUCCCACCAGAUAUACUAUUUCACUAUCUAUGCCAGGAAAGUUACGUAAAACCACGCAGAAUUUUACCUGACAACGAAAUAGACCUUUUCGUUAGAUCCUCCACCCCACCUAAAGCAGUUACACAGGCUGAAAUGAAACUGUUAAAGGAAUGAACUAACUUGGAGAUAGAAUCAUCGCCUUUGCUGAACACCAUUUUAAGAAUAUUGGAAUAUAUAGGGGUACCAGCAUAAUAGUAAAAUGUGCCCAUAUUAUCUAUAAUUUUAUGCUGGGCACUUUUUAGAAAUUAUUUUUUAUAACUUUGUCUUUGAGAUGAUUUGGCUACAAGUUCAUUACAUUUAGUUUACAACUGGCUUUGAUUUCUUGGCAUUCGUUGUGUAUUAUUAGGAAACCCCGCAGAGAGAAAAUGUAAACUCCAAAUUGCUUUAAAAUAUUAUGAUAGUUUUUAGGGAUAUUACACUGUGACAGUGAAUGAAAUGGACGUAACGUUCUGUUUUGUAGAUAUUUUGUGAAAUCUUUAUUAGUCUUGAUUUUCUUUGGAACAAGUCAUUCCUGUUCUGGGCUGAAGCCUGAAAAUUCCCUGACCUGUGACCCUGGCCCAAGGCUCCUCUUGGAUAAAACAGUGUUUCCUGGACCAGAGGGCAAAGUCACAGAAACAUGAUGUGACGAAAUCUAAAUAGAAAGGUAUUGAUUUGUUCUUCGUUCAUCAAAUAGUUAUUGGACUCCAGCACGUAUGAGUAGCAGGGAGCCUGGCUAGCACUACACCUUCCCCUCCUGCCUCUCAGGGUCAGGGCCACAGGCACACACAGAGCGAGGGAAAAUGAGGGGGUAGAGAGGCUGGUCCCGAGUCUCCAGCCCUUCUCUCCCAAUCCUCUCCCUGAGUGGGCAGGGAACUCUUCUCUUGGCUCCUCCAACUUCCAUCAACGUCUGCCCUUGGGUCUGGUUUUAAACUCUAAGGUGUAAAUGACUCAUAAUGGCUCAACAUUUUGUCCCUCCCAAGAGGUAUUUUUAAGUCUAAGGAAUAAAGAUUUAAUAGUAAAA
rnacentral:lncRNA from 1 species